rnacentral:misc_RNA from 1 species
UUUCCGUAGGUGAACCUGCGGAAGGAUCAUUAAAAAAUUGGACUCCAUUGGUGAGUUCAUUAAUAAUCCCUACCCUUUGUGAAUUUGUUUGUUUGAAUAAUUUUUUUCCAAAAAAAAUUAUUGAAUGUCUUUCCCUGUUUUGGUGGAGCUUGUAAAGUGAAACCAGGCAGGGGAAUGGCAAACAAUAAUUAUUUUUGAAAAAAGACCUUUUUUUAAAAUUAAACUUUUUGUAUUCAUUUGUCUAAAAUUAUUUUUAUAAUAUAAAAACAACUUUUGACAAUGGAUCUCUUGGUUCUCGCAACGAUGAAGAACGCAGCAAAAUGCGAUAAGUAGUGUGAAUUGCAGAAUACAUGAAUCAUCGAAUCUUCGAACGCAUAUUGCACUUUUUUAGCUUACUAAAAAAGUAUGUCUGUUUGAGUAUCAGUAAAAUAUUCUCAUAAAAAACAUUGUUUUUUUAUGGUUAUGAGUGUUUUACAACGAUAACAAGUUGUUUCACUUUAAAUUCUUUGUUAUCAAAAAAUCAUUAAAAGCUAAUUUUAAAGAUUUUUUAAAAUUGGAUAAAAUUUUCCCGUAAAAAGGAAUAACCUAAACAAUUUUAAAAAAUUAAAAUUGGUUUGAUUUUUUUUGAAACCCAAAGGAAAAAAAAACGAAAUUAACUUGAUCUCAAAUCAGAUAAGAGUACCCGCUGAACUUAAGCAUAUCAAUAAGCGGAGGAAAAGAAACUAACUAGGAUUCCCUCAGUAACGGCGAGUGAAGCGGGAAGAGCUCAAAUUUGAAAUCCUCAAGGUUUUACCUUGACGAAUUGUAGUUUAAAGAAGUGUUUUCUGUUGGAGUUUUGGUAAAAGUUCUUUGGAAAAGGACAUCAUAGAGGGUGAGAAUCCCGUAUUUGACCAUUAUCUCCAGCUUUGUGAUACACUUUCAAAGAGUCGGAUUGUUUGGGAAUGCAGUCCAAAAUGGGUGGUAAAUUUCAUCUAAAGCUAAAUACUGGCGAGAGACCGAUAGCGAACAAGUACCGUGAGGGAAAGAUGAAAAGAACUUUGAAAGAGAGUUAAACAGUACGUGAAAUUGUCAAAAGGGAAGCGUUUGACACCAGUGUUGUUUUCUCGAAAAUCAAUUAAAAAAGGCCGGAUUUUGUGUUGUAUUGACUUUAUCAGCUUUCUGCACUUUUUUCUUGUCUUUUUUAAUGCACUUUUCGUUUAACAAGUCAACAUCAAUUUCUUUUGUUGUAAAAGGGUCAUUGGAAGGUGGCUUUCUUUUCGGAGAAAGUGUUUAUAGCCUUUGGCCUCUGCAAUCGGAGAGAUUGAGGUCUGCAGCGUAGAUCCUUCGGGGUUAGAUACAUUUGUGCUAAGUUAUAGCCUUUCAUAGACAACUUGUUGACUAUGAUCAGCCAUGUAGCUUACUCGCUUAUGCUAUUU